rnacentral:misc_RNA from 1 species
GCUGCGACCCCUCGUGGGACGCUCUCCUUAAAUGUAUUGGUGCGGCCCGCCGCCCGGUUACACAACGUUCUAGGUUCGUCCAACUCGUUGCUCAGCCGGUGCAAUCUUGGUGCUGCACCUAAAGCCCGCCUUGUGCCUUGUGCUCUUGGCUAACUUCAUUUAUUGACCUCAGAUCAGGUAGGAAUACGCGCUGAACUUAA